GGGUUGGAGAUCAAACCCAGGUCUUCACUUAUGCUAGGUAACACAUACAGUAAAGAGUUCAAACAGAGCUGGGUGUGGUGGUGCUCAACCGUAAUCCCAGCAACUUGGGAGGCUGAGGCAGGAGGAUCACAAGCUCGAGGCCAGCCUGGGCAGAGAGACAGGAGUGACGAGGCCGAGGAGAGGGAGGCAGAUGCUCAGCUGUGAUACCUGGGGCAUGUGAGCUGGUAGGACCUUCUGUAUAGUGUGGGGCUGUGACAACAAAGUACAGUCAGCACACAGAGCCAUCAUCCUUCUGCUGGAUAAAGACAUCACUAGUUGAUUACAGCAUUCUUCCCCACGGAGUCAGGACAAGCCACUACAACUGCCUUAAAAUUCAUCUCUUCUCGUAAAAGUCCGGACAACUGCUAUGCUUGAUGUGAUUGUAUAUUUUCCCACCUUGGACUUCAUGCCUGAAAAGUGAGAAAUAUUUGUCCAAGAACUGGAACUGAACUUGGUGAUUGACCCAAUUUUAUUUGGAAUUUCUUCAUUGUGAAUACCUUCAGAGCAUUGCUAUUUAAUUUAUUAUUAUUGAAGUAGACUAUAAAUAGGAAUAAUGGUACAUUACUGAGCUUUCUUUUUCAUAUAUUUUAAAUUAAGUAUUCUACCUGUACUUGCAAAUUUGGCUCCUGAACUGGUGUCUUUGUUUCUCUUGCUUGGUCCAGCUAAUGUUUACAGUUGGUUCUGAGCCUCACCAAUGCUCCUAAUCUGGGGUUGUCUCUCUGUCGUGUGCACAGAAUGCCCAGGAGGUCUUAGAACCCACACUGUGGCAUUUAGCUUGGCAGUGACAGGUCUUCUCCUCCCUGGAGCAAUGCUUCCUUUCAUCUACCACCUUAAUUUUCUGCCCUUAUCAAUCUGAAAACCUAUGGUAACAGUCUACAUGGGCUUUCAUUUAACCUUUUAUGUUUUUUAAGUUCCAUCAUUUCCCCAUAACCAGGCCAGCGGAGGCCCUACCCAGGUGAUUCGGGUGAAAUUGCUCAAAGAAUUUAUAGCAAAAAGUGCAUGGGCCUUAGCCACUAGUCAGGAUAGACAAGUACUUAAACCUCUAGCGAUGUCCAAAGCUCCUUAAAAUCCAUUAAAUAUUAGAAAAAGAAUGUCGAUGCUGUUAUUGUUGCGGACAUAGUAGCUGUUUCGUCAAUAUUUUAACUGACCCAUAGAUUCCAUUUAAGAUGCUUUAGGACAAAUGCAGAAGUCACUAAUGCUUUAAAAAAUGAUGAUCUAACAGAGAAGUUUUCAUGAAAUGUGCCUGAUAGGGAUGAAAGUGCACUCCCUUUGGCCGAUGACAGUAGUCACAGGUACACAUCGCCACUAGUAUCAACUCUAAGAGUCUUACAUUACAUAACCUUUACCUGGACAGACCUUGUAUUGAGUGCUUCAGUUGCAUUAUUAUGUUUAAUUCCAGCAUAAGAGUAUGUGUUUUAUUUUCUGUAUUUUUUUUAAAAAAAUUAAGUACCUAAGAUGUGGAGAGAUUAAGUUGGGAGAAGGAAGUUGGUGAGGAAAGACUGGAGAAUCAGGACACUCAGUUCUUGGGAAGCUUACCCUUAUGUUUCUGGGCCGAUCUCUGAAAUUCUGUAACUUGCAUCGGAUCCUGUUACAUAUAUAACAGAAAAACUCAAUCUGAUGUUGGAUUCGUUCAUCUGUUUCCCUUGUGUUUGAAGUGUCUGUAGAGAACCAGCCUGCAGCUGGUAUAGCAUUUGAUGAUGUUAGGGACUCAGGGUGCUGGCAUCCUGUUGCUCUGCCAAUUUGUGCCUUCUAUCCCAAAGCCACCUUGUGGCUCAACCUAGCUGUUGGAGCACCAGUCAUCACAUUUGCAUUCUACAAAACAAUUCCACACAUCAGUUCUACUUCAUGCCUUUGGUUUAGUCACAGGUCACAUCUAGCUUCAAGGCAGAAUGUAGUCUUGAUUCUGGGCAACUGUGUGCUCAGCUAAAACUUCAGGAAGAGUAGAAAAUAAAUAUGAGGGGGGUGGACUAAUAGCAGUUUCUGUCAAAGUAUGGGGCUGUGACAACUUUUAGCUACUUUUCUAUACUUUGUGUGAGUAUCAGAAUUUUAUAUUUCUACAUCCAAUAAUAUUCUUAUAAUUGUUUUCCAAAAUCAACUCAGAAGUAUCUUAUUAAAAUGGUGCUCAUUAGUGUACACUUAGGCAUUUUCAUGAGCUAAAUUGAUGCCCUAGAUCUGACGUAACAUAAAACAAAAGCUUGACAUUAUCACUGUCUGCUACGCAUGAGUCAGUCCUGCCUUUUAAUACUAACAUGAGAAGGGGGUUCUGCUAUUGAGGAAUAUUCUAACAGACCUACUUUUAUGAUCUCUUGGUAAUUAUUUUUGCCUGCUUAACCAUUUUGACUAGUAGCUACCAGAGAAAAGCUGCUGACUUCUCUCCUUUAU